rnacentral:rRNA from 1 species
UACAGAGGGGGCAAGCGUUGUUCGGAAUUACUGGGCGUAAAGGGCGCGUAGGCGGCCUUCUAAGUCGAACGUGAAAUCCCUGGGCUCAACCCAGGAACUGCGUCCGAUACUGGAAGGCUUGAAUCCGGGAGAGGGAUGCGGAAUUCCAGGUGGUAGCGGUGAAAUGCGUAGAUAUCUGGAGGAACACCGGUGGCGAAGGCGGCAUCCUGGACCGGUAUUGACGCUGAGGCGCGAAAGCCAAGGGAGCAAACGGGAUUAAGAAACCC